UGUAAUGAGGAAGUAUUUAAUUUGAAUACUUGAUUUUUGGUAUGGUAGUUGAGUGUUUUUGACUUGGGAGUGGUUGUACUCCUUUUUAAUUGAAUACUAUAAGGAUUUGAGGUAGUUAGAUAGAUUGAGCUAUUGGAAAUAAAUUGUCUUUACUCUUUUUCUACAAUAACGACUGAGUUUAAUGGGUUAGAACCUUUUUUCCAUAGAGUUAGAACUGAUACUUGCUUAUUAUGUUUUCACUUAUUUGCAAAACUGUCAACACAUGCCAAAAUUAUAUCAUUUUUAGUUAUAUGAAUUAUUGGGAAUGAGUAAUGCUAGUCCUUGAGAAUCAAUGCUUUUGGGGAAGAGGGGUAUUGGACUCUGACAAUACAGAUGCAAAAUUUAUGCUUCCUGCCUAUAUAACAUAAAUCUUGAGUUCAUAACUUAAUAUGGCUCCAAAAACUGUAUGCAUUUAGAAUAGACAUUUUUUUUUAUUAUUUCUCUUGUUUCCUAUUUCUUGUUCUUUCCCAUAUAUGUUGUAAUUUGUUUGGUUAAUUAAUUAGUUAGCUUAUGUAUUGUAUGGUUUUUAAUUUCUCAACUAGCCUGAUUCCUAGACUGAUUUGUGUAAGAUAUUGCUUAUGUUUUGUUCAUCUAUUUUGUUUAUCUUCUCCCAUUAUUUUUGUUUUUUCCAUUACAGAAAAGGUUUACAUGGCCCCCAACUUUGAACGACAUGGUGCGACGCAACUUUGAAAAACUGAGUGCAGCUAAGAUGUCGCUAAUUUCUCAAGUAGCCUGAUUCCUAGACUGAUUUGUGUAAGAUAUUGCUUAUGUUUUGUUCAUCUAUUUUGUUUAUCUUCUCCCAUUAUUUUUGUUUUUUCCAUUACAGAAAAGGUUUACAUGGCCCCCAACUUUGAACGACAUGGUGCGACGCAACUUUGAAAAACUGAGUGCAGCUAAGAUGUCGCAACUAAUGCAAGAUGCGCGUAAAGAUUUGGAAAAUAAGCCUACUUGGAUGGGAGAGAGAAUGUCGCAGCUAGGAUGUUGGUAGUGAUCAUAUUGAGUAGUAUUUGCAUGAUAUAAAUUUUGUUUAGAAUUAUCACAAUAGUUGGAUCAUGUUUUAAUAAAUAUUUAGUUUUGAUUUGAAAA
rnacentral:lncRNA from 1 species